rnacentral:sRNA from 1 species
CAUCGGCCAGCAGCUCUGCCUUGUCAUCU